GCUGUGGUAUUGUAAUGGUUAGCACUUCCGCCUAGUAAGCAAGAAGAUCCGGGUUCGAAUCCCGGCCACAGCA